rnacentral:tRNA from 1 species
GUGUAGUUCGGCUAGUGGUUGAUGCCGCCAGAUUGUGAUUCUGGUACAUAAGAAACGCAUGGGUUCGAAUCCCAUACUACACCC